GGAGGUAAAGUCGAUGAGAUGAGACGCCGGAUUGUUAAUCCGGAGGGAGCUUGAUGCGGGCUGUCUCCG
rnacentral:tRNA from 1 species